rnacentral:rRNA from 1 species
AUGUAAUGUAAUGCCUACAACGUUAGUGCAUCGAAUCCCAUUAGAAAUAUGCAGUUAAGUAUGCUUGGGCUAGAGUACUAUUGGGAUGGGUGACCUCCCAGGAAGUCCUGGUGUUUUACAUG